AUAUUGGACAAUGGGCGAAAGCCUGAUCCAGCCAUGCCGCGUGUGUGAAGAAGGUCUUCGGAUUGUAAAGCACUUUAAGUUGGGAGGAAGGACCGUAAGUUAAUACCUUGCUGUUUUCACGUUACUGCCAGAAUACGCACCGGCUAACUCUGUGCCAGCAGCCGCGGUAAUACAGAGGGUGCAAGCGUUAAUCGGAAUUACUGGGCGUAAAGCGCGCGUAGGUGGUUCAGUAAGAUGGGUGUGAAAUCCCCGGGCUUAACCUGGGAACUGCUUUCAUAACUGCUGAGCUAGAGUAUGGCAGAGGGUGGUGGAAUUUCCUGUGUAGCGGUGAAAUGCGUAGAUAUAGGGAGGAACACCAGUGGCGAAGGCGACCACCUGGGCUAAUACUGACACUGAGGUGCGAAAGCGUGGGGAGCAAAC
rnacentral:rRNA from 1 species